rnacentral:rRNA from 1 species
CCUACGGGUGGCAGCAGUAGGGAAUAUUGCUCAAUGGGGGAAACCCUGAAGCAGCAACGCCGCGUGGAGGAUGAAGGUUUUCGGAUUGUAAACUCCUUUUGUUAGAGAAGAUAAUGACGGUAUCUAACGAAUAAGCACCGGCUAACUCCGUGCCAGCAGCCGCGGUAAUACGGAGGGUGCAAGCGUUACUCGGAAUCACUGGGCGUAAAGAGCGCGUAGGCGGGAUAGCAAGUCAGAUGUGAAAUCCUAUGGCUUAACCAUAGAACUGCAUUUGAAACUGGUAUUCUAGAGUAUGGGAGAGGUAGGUGGAAUUCUUGGUGUAGGGGUGAAAUGCGUAGAGAUCAAGAGGAAUACUCAUUGCGAAGGCGGCCUGCUAGAACAUAACUGACGCUGAUGCGCGAAAGCGUGGGGAGCAAACAGGAUUAGAUACCCCUGUAGUC